GGUGACAACAUCAAUGUUAAAGUGCUAAAAAAUUAAACAACAACAACAAAGUGCAACAACAACAUUUAUAACGGUAAAAACAAGUUGUGUAUUAGAAAGAAUUAACCAGAAGAAAAUGUGGCCGUCACAUUGCAGUAUUUAAGACUACCUACAAUUACUGCGGACGAGUUUGACUUGUACUAGCGCAAAUGUGCCCGUUACCGUUUAAAACAGAUUUCAGAAUCUAAAAGUACUGCCGAAAUUUUUCAGAUGUGGUCUGAAUACAAAAAGCCUUCUGGUUCAAAUCUAAUUAAUAUAGACUUUGAACUGAAAUUUCCUUUCGCCAAACAAUUUUCUGAAAGAUGGUUAUGCUAUAAAGAUAAAAUAAUCUACUUGCUACAAAGUAAGAUCAGCAACCUUACUAUUUCAAAAAAAUGCAACAAAUACAUACAUUUAAUAAAGAAUCUGUAGUUUUAACAGUACUUUGGAAUAUACACCAUUUAUUUCCUCCAACACAAAAAGCCACCUCAAACAUGAGUGGGGCAAAAAUUCGCAAAAAGUUUUCCGUAUUGGCAGAAUCCGAAGAAGAAAUUGAAAUAAAAUUAAAACUUCUUAUGCUUCAAGGGCGUAAUAUCCAGCCCAAAUUAUUAAUUUCUGGCAAUUUAGAGGAUAUUAAAUCAAUAUUUGUUUACUUCGAUGACAAUAAGUAUCCAUUUUUAACUAUUGUAAAAGCAUUCGAUUUACUUUUUAAAAUAUUUUUUGUUUUUAAUCUUCAGUUUCCCGAGGAAUCUGAAAUAUUUUAUAAUUUUAUUCAAGAUUUUUUUUUAUGACAUGCCCACG